CACGGGGGGAGCAAGCGUUGUUCGGAAUCACUGGGCGUAAAGGGCGUGUAGGCGGUCAGGUUAGUGAGAUGUGAAAUGCCCCGGCUCACCCGGGGACCUGCAUCUCAAACUGCCUGGCUUUGAGUAUGGGAGAGGAUGAGGGAAUUCCUGGUGUAGCGGUGAAAUGCGUAGAUAUCAGGAGGAACACCGGUGGCGAAAGCGCUCAUCUGGCCCAAUACUGACGCUGAGGCGCGAAAGCGUGGGGAGCGAACAGG
rnacentral:rRNA from 1 species